AUGCAAUGGUUGUACUUCCCAUGCAUUUGAGAGGGAACAUGCUUAUACCGCCAUUGUUCUUUCUGAAGUUGAAGCGUGUUUUCUUUCCUAAUAAAAUAAGAGUUCAAAGUAAUAAGGAGAAGGGUUAUGUAGAGCCAGAUGUUGAAAGGUACUGCAUAGCACCAGCUUACGGUCCAGAAUUUGGUUGGUUGAUUUUUGGUUCUUUUUCUUUUUUUUUCUUUUUUUUUUUUUUUUGUGUGUGUGUGUGUGUGUGGUGCUGAUGUUGGCACCAGAUCCAUUAAAAUGAUUUUCUGUUUUUCAUGUGCUUCAACAUCUGCUGUAUCAACAGUGGAGCAGUACAGCAGACCAACUAGCCCCAUAACAGAAGACUUUAGCAAGCAACUAAAACAGAAACUCUCCUCAAGCAAACAUCAGAGGAUGCUGUGCAGCUGCUGAGCUUUUGCAAGUAGGGAGGGAAGGAGACCUCUGGGUUGGGUUCUCUUCUGCCAUCAGCUGGAGGACAGGAUUAAUGAUGAGACAGGAGACCAGACCCACUGGAUGCAGGAGUGAGGGAAGGAGGGUGUUGUUAUUUGCAGGAGAUAUCUGUGAUUGGUGGAGAAGAGCACUAUUAUCUUAGAGGCUGUGUACCAAGAAUAGGAGCACAUAUUGAUGUGCAAUGCUCAGCAACUCAACAGUGAUAAGAGGUAAGAAAAUGACAGUUUACAUUUUGAUCUGCAUUUUCAGUGCAUAGUGUUGUAUGGAGUGUGGGGGCUUUCAGCUUGUGCACGCGCUGUUAAAUUUCUGUGCUCUUCCAUUUCUUUGGAAGCACGAAAGGA